rnacentral:rRNA from 1 species
GUCCACGCCGUAACGAUGGAUGCUAGAUGUUGGGUAGUUGACCCUCCGGCGUCGCAGCUAACGCAUUAAGCAUCCCGCCUGGGAGGUACGGCCGCAAGGCUAAACUACAAGGAAUUGACGGGCCCGGCACAAGCGGUGGAGCAUGUGGUUUAAUUCGACGCAACGCGAAGAACCUUACCUGGGUUAAAUCCGCCCGAAUCCUGCAGAGAUGUGGGAGUGCCCUUCGGGGAACGGCGAGAAGGUGCUGCAUGGCUGUCGU